GGAGGUAGUGACAAUAAAUCACAAUGCGGAACUUUUGUUUUGCAAUUGGAUUGAGAACAACGCACAACACUUAUCGAUAAACAAUUGGAGGGCAAGUCUGGUGCCAGCAGCCGCGGUAAUUCCAGCUCCAAUAGCGUAUAUUAACGUUGUUGCAGUUAAAAAGCUCGUAGUUGAAGUGAAGUAAUGAAGUUGUGACUUGAUUUAUCAUUUCGCUUCUUAAUUACUCUUUCCAAAUUGUUUGCACGGGUAUUCAUUUACUUGUGUAUUGCAUUUGGUCAUUUACUGUGAGAAAAUUAGAGUGUUCAAAGCAUACGUUUGUUUGAAUACAUUAGCAUGGAAUAAUUCGAAAAGGCUUUCAUGUUCGAUUUGAUUGGUUUGUUCGUGAGAGCAAGAUUAAAAGGGACAGUUGGGGGUAUUCAUAUUCAAUAGUCAGAGGUGAAAUUCUCGGAUUUAUGGAAGAUGAACAA
rnacentral:rRNA from 1 species